ACGAGAUCUGUAGCAACAAAAUCAGACAAAGGCUUAGAAGCAUCUUUCUGCCCGUAAAUCCUCCAGUCCGGUGUUUCCUGCUGAGUAAAGCAAUCUCCAAGUCAUCCAGGAGAGUAAGAUUUAUGCCAGGGGUUACACAGAUCAUGUGGAGUCUGGCUGCAGAACCCUCAGGGACCAAAGUGUGUGCCUGGCGUCUGGAUGGAGUAUGACAAGGAGAUGAGCAUCAAACCUUUGGGAGAGUAAGGGAGGAGGAGCUCCGGGGGGAGGAGCUAAGCCAUCUGCCCAGGAAUGUGGAGAUGUAUCUUCAACAUAGAGGGCACUUCAGCCCAAUCUGACUCGUGGGAGCAGCUCAGCCCAGUCUGCACCUCAUGCUGGACUCUAUGUAAAAGGGGGACCCAGCUAAGCCCCUCCAGUAGCAGGCAGAGCCCUGAACUGGUCUCCUGCUCUUGUCUCCAUCGCCAUGCCUCUCCCAGCUCCAGAACACCAGCCGUUACUCUCCACCACUCUCCCCUCUCACUUCAGGUUGGAUGCUGAACUCCGAACGUCUCAGGAAUGACACUGACUUUACAAAUCAGCAGCCCCCUCGCCCCUGCUCCCCACCCUCCGCCGCCACAUAAUCUCAGGGAACACGCCUGAGGAUGUGACCCAGCCCUGAGACCUUCCACCAGGCGUCACGGGUCCUGUCCUGGGCAACAUCCUGUGUAACCAGUUAGGAAAAAUUUGAUUCAGCCUUGGAGCAAAUGAAAAAGUAACUACAGUUCACAUUUGUUAUGUCGUGAGAAGACCUGAAAAAAAAUUAUCUUGUUGACAUAAGGAAGUAAGAAUUUUAAGUGCUGUGUUGGUGAAUAUAUAGAUAUUUUCUUAUCCAAGCGUAAUUGACAUACAAUGUCCUAUUAGUGCUAGGUGUAUAUCACAGCAUUUAAUAUUUUUAUUCAUUACGAAAUGAUCCCCAUGCUAAGCCUAGUUACCAUCUGUCGCCGUACAACCUUGCUACAAUAUUAUUGACUAUACUCCCUAUGCUGCACAUUACAUCCCCCUAACUUAUUUAUUAUAUAA